rnacentral:misc_RNA from 1 species
GUGAAUCAUCGAAUCUUUGAACGCAAAUUGCGCUUCCUAGCAUCCCGGGAAGUAUGCCUGUUUGAGGGUCAGUAUUAACAAAAAAAUCGGUUUGGUUGCAAAUUGUGACGUUUCCGGAGUUUGGGCUAUCUUAACUUUUUUGGUUAAGGGGCUUAAAAUUGACCUUUUUGCGGCUUUUUUAGAGGACCUUAAUUUUUUUUUAUUUGUCUUAUCUUUAUUCCAAAAUUUUAUUUGAAGCCGAUAC